rnacentral:tRNA from 1 species
GAAUAGCUCAGUUGGUAGAGCAUGAGACACAGGGCUGUGGGUUCAAGUCCUACAAUGGGCG